UGGGAUACCACCCUUGUAGUACUGGGACUCUAACCAUAGGCCAUGAAUCUGGUCUUGGGACACUGUCAGGUGGGCAGUUUGACUGGGGCGGUCGCCUCCCAAAAGGGAACGGAGGCGCUCAAAGGUUCUCUCAGUACGGUCGGAAAUCGUACGUAGAGUGUAAAGGCAAAAGAGAGCUUGAUUGCAAGACAUACAGGUCGAGCAAGGAUGAAA
rnacentral:rRNA from 1 species